AGUGGGUGUUCAAAUGUGGACUGUUCUGCUCUUUGAGUUCUUUAAUCUUUGGCUCUGACUUUUGUUUCAUUGGCCCUAAGUCCUGUUCCUUUCCCCCUUUCUUGUCCUGCAGGCUCUUUACGCCAUGGCAUCAGCACACGGUUCUGUUACAUCACAGUCUUCUCUCUUUCGGAAGUGAGGGAGGAGAGGGAGAACCUGCGGGCAGCUCAGACCUCAGGCAUCAGACCACGGAGAACCCAUCUCAGGGGUGACAGUGACCUGCAUGCGAGGCUGUGGGAAGAGAACUUCCUGCUGACAUGGAGACUGAGGUUCAAGUCCCAGGUCUGCCACUGAGUGGCUGUGUGACUGAGCUGGUCUCUUCCCUCUCUGGGCCUCAUUUUCCCCAUCUGACUACAAGAGGGCAGGCCGGGGGAAUUCUGGCACUGUCUUUAAGAUUCAGGACCAUGGGCAGAGCCUGCACAGCUGUCAGUAAACACGGAGACCACUGCAGGCUGACAACGCUCAAAUCCAGGUCUCCUAUAUCACCACUGUGAUUCAAGGAAAUACUAGGCCACUUUUGAGAACAGUGGAAGGAGUAAGAAAGUGUGCACCUGCCCUAUGCCAGUCCUGAGCUGAUCCAGUUA
rnacentral:lncRNA from 1 species